rnacentral:lncRNA from 1 species
AAAAAUCUAAUUCAUGUAACAGAAGUUGAGCAGAUAUUGCAUCAAAAUCUAGUUAGCUGAAUGUUCAUCAACUAAAGGAAGUCAUAAACUUCAAGAAUGAAAAGCUGGUAAAUGAGUCACUUUACAGCUUUUCUGGCACAAUGAAACCACAAACCACAUGUUUGAUACCAGAUUUUACCUUUCCAAUGGAUGCCAUUUGGGAUCGAACCCUGGACCUCAGUUUGCAGCUAUUCUAGACAGCACCAGCAAAUAAAAAUGGGGGUUUGCCUUUCCAAGGGAUAGCCCUUAAAUUUGCAAAACUAUUGACCGAAAGACAAAAAGCUUGCAUCUUCCUCCUGCAUAUUUUUUCAAUUUGACUCCUGAAACAUGGGAAACUUUUUAUCAGAAAGAAAG